rnacentral:rRNA from 1 species
GACGAACGCUGGCGGCGUGCUUAACACAUGCAAGUCGAACGAGACGAUUGAAAGCUUGCUUUCGAAAGUCGAGUGGCAAACGGGUGAGUAACGCGUAGACAACCUGCCUUUGAGAUGGGGACAACAGUUCGAAAGGACUGCUAAUACCGAAUGUUGUAUAUUUUCCACAUGGAAGAUAUAUUAAAGAUGGCCUCUAUUUAUAAGCUAUCGCUCAAAGAUGGGUCUGCGUCUGAUUAGCUAGUUGGUGGGGUAACGGCCUACCAAGGCGACGAUCAGUAGCCGGUCUGAGAGGAUGAACGGCCACAUUGGGACUGAGACACGGCCCAGACUCCUACGGGAGGCAGCAGUGGGGAAUCUUCCGCAAUGGACGAAAGUCUGACGGAGCAACGCCGCGUGAGUGAUGAAGGUUUUCGGAUCGUAAAACUCUGUUGUUAAGGACGAAUGUAUAGAUUGUGAAUAAUGGUUUAUAAUGACGGUACUUAACGAGGAAGCCACGGCUAACUACGUGCCAGCAGCCGCAGUAA